rnacentral:lncRNA from 1 species
GGGCGGCAGGCAAGGAUGCUAAUCCACAAGGUUCCUGAGUCCAACAUCCCUCCCUCCAAUGUGGGGCUCGAAUCCGCUAUUGCAACCAAACCCGGGUUCUGCCCGCAGGGUGGCGCAAUGACAAGAGCCACCAGGUGACCCUGGUAACUCCCGCACCUAGACCUGGAAAAGGCCAGUCCUGUGCAGUGUGGCCUUAGGGCAUCUACAGCUCUGGACAGAGGGAGAAGGUCCAAGUCCCUGCUUCCUGCUGAGGGGACGGCUAAGGAAGAGAAACUACCUUAAUGACCUACAGGAGCAGUUUUUCUGCAGCACCACAUCUGUAGCCCUGCAUGCCGCUGGCUCCAGUGUUGUGUGUGUGGUCAUGCUCCAUCCAGCCCAGCAGCAACUUUGGUGUUUGACACCCCUCGGGAGGCACCGCUUUGGAAGAGACUGGUGUGUGCGGAGCCCAAGAUGUGUUGGGAACAGCUAUCGUUUCUACUGCUUUGUCCCAUGCCUCUGGAGCUCCUGGGUUCCUGAACUUCAAGCUGGGCCCCAUCCUUCACCCUAUCAGGGCCCUGGGUGGAGCUGACUUCCAACAGUAUACAGUGGGUCUUGGUACUUCCUCCUUGGCAUUCGACAGUUGGUGUUUUUGAAGUCAGAGCCAUCCUCAGUAGGCUCCUAGGGGAUCGUAAGCGGCUUUCUCUGGGUGGAAACCUACUCCAUGCAGCCUUCAGCAAAGGUACCAGCAUCUGUCACUGGGAUGGGGAAGUCCGGUGAUCGUGUCAGCAUGGGCUACGGUGGACGGGGAAAGGCUCGUUCUGACACUAGACACCUGGGUCUCUAGCCCUAUGCCUGGAUUUGUCUGGGGAACUCUGCACCACACUGAUCCUGGCUUUCCCCAUUACCUGCUCCAUGCCAGGAUCCUACGGCUGUUGAUCCCCUCGGAAGUGAGACAUAAUGUCCCGGAGCAGAUGCUGAUGGGGACUCACUGUUGGGCCACCUGAUUUCUGUGUUCAUCUUCCCAGGCUCCACCUUUCAGAUCCCAUCCCUGGUGUCUGCAGUUACAACUUUACUAACCAGAACUUUGUUUCCAGCUUACGCUGAAAAGCAAAGGGUGACUUAGAAUAAAAAUGUAACAAAUAGCCCCAUAGCCCAAACCUUUUCUGCCAUGAUUUACUGUACCAGAUACCUAUAAGUGUCCAGGGCAAAUUAAACACAUCAAUAAAUGGC